UUACUAAAAAAUAUUUAAUGGCUUUAGUAUUCCUCCCUUUCUCUUUAGCACAGAAAGUGAAAAGGUAAUUUUCCGUCUCUCUGUUGUCCUCUCAGUCGUCCAUCGUCUAGCUGUGUGGCUUCCACUCUGUCUCGUCCGCGACUGACUGUCCACAUAGGUCCACCACAUGAUGCUAAUGGACAUUCCUGUUCAUCAACAAGUCCAACUCUGUCUCAUGCUGUAGGAGCCUCGACAUCAGUACAAUCCCCCCCACAUGAUGCAUCAAAUUCCUUGCUAGAUGAUGAAGUCCAACAGCAAGAACAAGCUCCAACUCAACCUUCUAAUUCAAGAGUCACAUCUAAAUCUGUACCAUAUUGGGCUGUAGAGAUAAUUGAUUUGGAGAAGACUACAAAAACUAUUAGGGUCAAGGUACAUAAGGUCAACUACCUACCUUUAGGGGAGCGUAUAAUUGUUCACUUCAAUGAAUAUGGCUCAGCAAUUGGGGUAGCACAAGGGUUGCUUGCAGGAUAUUGUGGAACAUUAGCAGUUGAUUGUAAUGUAUUCCCUAUUAGUUUUGAGAGAUGGUUGGGGCCAACAGGUGUUCCUAAAACGUACAAAGAAGAUUGCUUUGAAACAUUUUUAAAGCCUCGAUUUUGUUUUAGGACUACUGAAGCCACUGCAUACAGAUAUUGUACUUCUAGCAUUGGAAAAAAGUGGGCUACACAUAGACAAAGGAUAUCUAAUGAAUUUAACGAUCCAGCCAAAAGUAUCAAUGAACUUUUAAGUAAUGGUAUAAGCAAAGAUCAGUGGGCUAGUUUUGUUUCUUACCGUAGAAGAGCAUAAAAAAUCGAUCUUUGUAAAAAAAAUAAAGAAAAUCGAAGCAAGGAAAGAAUUUCACACACGGGUGGUUCAAAAUCAUUAGCAAGAAGACGACAUGAGAUCUUUUUUGGCAACUGGAAAAAAUUUUAGUCGGGGACAAAUGUAUCUUGAAACUCAUUAAAGGAAAGGUGGAUCGUAUGUAAAUGAAGAGGCAAGAAUUAUAGGGCCAAUUCAUGUUUUUCAUCACUGCUGCAAUGAUUAUUGGAAAAUUCAAACAACAAUUCUUCUACAAUGCUCUUCUGUUCUUUGCUUGUAUUGGCCUUGUGGUGCAUCUGGAGCAAAUUGAGUUGGAUAUAGAUCAAUGUAAUGAAUCUGAAGCAUCCCCUAAUGAUAUUAUUGGCAAGUUGUUUGGAGCAGAACAUUCAGUUAAGAGUACGAUGUUGGGGUAUGGGAGCAGCCCCUUCAGAUACAUUUAAGAAUAUCAAACGACGACUUACUAAUUUGAGUGUUUCCUCAUCUAAUCUCGGUGAAUCAUCCUCAACUAAAACCUAUUUGCACCAAAAGGUCUCACGUUUGGAGUACCAAUUAGAAGGAACUUUAAAUGUGUUGAAGACAUACAUGAUAUCGAAGGAAGUGUUCCCGCUGAAUUUGCUAGUUUGUUUGCUCCUCAACCACUGUCGGAUUAUGUAGAGAGUGAACCAACUUCAUCAAUGAGUAUAAGAGGAUCAUCAGAUGGCAGAAACCCAAAUCACCAAGAAAAUGCCUAGUAUUUUUAUGUGUAUUGUUAUAGAAUUUCUUAUUUUAUGUAUUUAAAGAAAUAUUAUUUUAGGAACAAUGCUGUUUAUUUGAUAUGUGGUGUUUGAAUUGGUGAUUUUUGAUGUUAUUGGUAUUUUUAAUGCAAUGUAAUUACAUUUUAUAAGUUAUUCA